UCAAAAUGUGAAUGUCAUUAAAAGACCCAAACAUUUAUCCUUAAGGUGCAGGGCCGAUGCAGGGCCAAGUAAAAAGUCACAAAAAUGUGACUUUACACUGUAAACAAAGAAAUGUUUUGGUGAUGUUUUUAUUUGUGCAGCUGAAAAAGAGCUAAAACAGACGUGUUAGUAAAAGUCUGAACAUAAGUGUUUUAAUGGCUGAUGAACAUCAGCAGACUGCUGACGAUGGCGAGGCAUGAAGAGAAGGGUAGAGCAGAGAGAGUUUGUGGAGUUAGGUGUUUAUGUCUUUGGGUCAGGUUUGGUCAAGAACAUGGAUCAGUAUGGAACUAGGAUUGGGACAAUAUUCAGCGUAACUUGUACCAAGUUUUGUAACUUCGAACAUGUUUCAUCACAUGUAACUUUGGAUUCGUAACUUGUAACUUUGGAUUCGUAACUUGUAAUUCUCAAUUCGUACUUGUAUUCUUGUUUUGUAACAGGAACAUUGUAUUUUGUACAUGUAUUUUUUAUUUUGUAAAAUCAAACAUUCAUUCAGAAGCAUGAAACUUUUGUUUUGUAACUAGCAGACUUCCAAAUUGAAAAAAAUCAAGGUACAAGUUUGAAAUCAAAGCUCCCAAAACACACAUUUCAUUCUACAGGUACAAACCUCAAAUCCUACAGUGUUACGAAUCUUUUUGUCUCGAUUCUAGCGUCAGUGGGAGGAACUUGGGUGGAACCAAUGAGAGCACGAGUCUUGGCUACCAAUCACGUUUCUCGAAUUCCUGUCCAAUCAUUGGGAGAGGAGGGCAGGGUUUUGUCAGAGCUGUAGAGAGUUACAACACUCCAAUAGACUCCUAUGGAAUGGGGAAGUCACGUGGUUCAUGUGGUUUCGAAUAGUUCCAAACAGCCCCGCUGCUGCAUUGACUGCAGUUCAUUUUCGGUGUUUCGGAAGGAUUUUCUCCGAACAAGGCUAUCCCAGCAUGCUUUGCGCACCGGCUGUGGAUUUUAAACAGGCAGAGAAAAUGGGGAGAGCUACGAAGUUUUAAACGACUGCAGGUGUCCAGGGUCAGGAGAGGCUUUACCUGGUUGUCAUCCUGGGAGAGAGGCCUUCUACUGUCAUCAUGUUAAUGUUAUUUAGCUGUUUGAUAUUUGAACAUGUUUAUUAAAACAAAUACUAACUGAUAACUCUUUCUGGUCAUUGGUUUUAUCACCAGUUUUAUUAUUACAGAUGUUUUUGAACAUGUUACAUGAACAGAAAAUGAAAAGAUGAUAAGGAGACAACAUUAUUUAUAAUAUGUUACACUUAUUUACAGAUCAAAACCAGUAUGGACCAGUUUUGUACAGUUAAAGCAGGAUUAACCUGAGUGACUCUUCCUGGAUCAUUUAUUUAAACUGAGUGAGCAGGAAGUCUUUAACAGUGCAGCUGGAUCUGCUGCAGGAGGAUCCAGACGUGGAUGGAGGGCUGGAGCAGACCCGUGGCUGGACGUUUCUGGUCAGAGGAACAUCAUACAGGACGGUCUGCAGAGAGAGCUUUGGGACGCUUCUUCUCACUGUCCACUCCAUCGUCCAACUACAGGGCCUGCUGGGCUGGCUCAGACGACGGCUGUUACGUCUCUGUGAAUGACUUGCCUGUUAACAGUAGUGGUGGUCUGCUGGUACCUCCUGCAGGACAGAGCACCACUGACCUCCUCCAUUCACAUCUUCCUGACGCUCAUCCUCCAGACCCACAACUUCACCAGCACAAAGGCAGAUGUGCAGCACAGUGCAUGCUGACCUGUAAUAGAUUAAAUAAGAGUUAGUUUUUUUUAUAGAAAAAUGUAAAACAAAACAUAACCUGCAGUACACUGGUUCUGUUCAGUUUAAAGAAAAGCAGCAGGGAAAACUACAGAGAAUUUACAUUUUUAAGACAGAUCUAAUCAUUAUUAGGCUUAAGUUGAAUAAACAAAUGCACAUUGAAAACUGUUCAUUUUAUUAAAAAGCCUGUUUUUAAAGCAUUUUACCCUCAUUUGAUGCAAAAUAAGUUCUAAGGUCCAAUUUACAUUAGAAAACAUCCUGCUGCAUUCAACAUUUAUAAUGCAUUUGGUUUAUUUUAAUUACCUACAUGAUAAUACUCUGUAGUAAUGUGUUGUGUACGUUUAACAAGUUCAUUCUGUAGCUUAAAACAUACAUGAAACCAUCUAAAGUUAACAAGUAAGUCCUGAAAGCUUCUAGAAUAAACAAAGUUACUUUACCUGAAAACGGCUGUGAACAAACACUGCUGAUGGACGUGAAGCUGCUCUAGCUCCUUAAUAUUCCUGCUCCAUUUUCGCUAGCUUUAGCAUUUUUCCUUUGCGUGUAGCUGCCGCCACGGCUGUGACGGGACCUACGGGCCACCGUAGAGGUGAAGGCUAGACUGUCCGAAUUCAGAGCCGCUGACUUCCGGUUUUAGCGGUCUUCAAGGACCCGGCCUUGCUAGACCGGCGAGGAUCCGUACUCA